rnacentral:lncRNA from 12 species
AAAGAGAGGAGCAGGGAAAGGGGAGGUAAUCCCUCACAUAAGUGUAGGCAGUGUGCACCAGUAGAUCAUAAGAACACCAUAAUGACAUCUUAUUAAAACAAUCAUUGCAAUGAAAAUUGAUUAUUUACUUUGCAGCCCAUUAUGCUUUCCCAGAAAGUACUUUUUGAAUAUGAUUUUCAAUUUUCUUUGAACCAGAUGUAUCCCUAACCACAAUCAUAUUUAUAGCUCACAGAUGUUGCCACUUUCAAGCCACCAGAGGAGGAGAGAAUACCAGGAAGAAAUGGAGGGAUGAAAACUGAAUUUAUAGCUCACAGAUGUUGCCACUUUCAAGUCACCAGAGGAGAAGGGAAUAUCAGGAAGAAACAGAGGGAUGAAAACUGCUCAAGAUUAGAUGUCUGGUGUCCAUGGGCAGGACCAGAGCUCACUUGCAUAUGCAGAGGUUUGUCUUCCUAAGGACAUACUAUUAUCUCCAUCCUGUGCCACUGCAGGUGACAUGGAGGAGCAGAAAGAGGGAACUCCCUGACCUGUUCAGGCAAUAUUAUUUUCUCUUUCAACUCCACACCUGUGCAGACCUCGGAAAUCUCUCCACAAUAUUGUCCUCAUGCACAUCCACUGGAGCUCCCAGUAUCAUCUCUGCAGCUAGCUGGCUUUUACUCUCCUACUAAUUGGCACCAGUAUCCGUGAAGGAUCUCCCUUCCAUCCUGAAAGCCAAAUCCAUGAGCUGUGCCACUCCCUACACACUGCAAAUGCAGAAGACACUGACCUGCAGGCAGCAGCUGACGCCAGAUUCACACCAGUUUUGCCCUUCUGCUCAGCUUGGGAGGGAAGCUGCAGACUGGCUGAUAUGAGUUUCUUUCUGAACUGAGCUUUGCUGCAGAUCAGGAAAUACCAGACCUGGAUUCAGGUAUUUCAAGUAUCUUGUCUGUCAUCCUGCUCUGUUGUCUCUAAGUAUAUCAGCAGAUUUCUCAGGGUCACUGGGAUGUCACCACAGCCCAUUAAUUCUGCAAAUGUGCUCAUCUCCCUCAGGAUACAAAAGGACAGGAACUCC